GACGUAGGGCGCAAGCGUUGUCCGGAUUUAUUGGGCGUAAAGAGCUCGUAGGCGGUUUGUUGCGUCGGCUGUGAAAUCCCGAGGCUCAACCUCGGGUCUGCAGUCGAUACGAGCAAACUAGAGUGUUGCAGGGGAGACUGGAAUUCCUGAUGUAGCGGUGAGAUGCGCAGAUAUCAGGAGGAACACCGGUGGCGAAGGCGGGUCUCUGGGCAACAACUGACGCUGAGGAGCGAAAGCGUGGGGAGCGAACAGG
rnacentral:rRNA from 1 species